rnacentral:lncRNA from 1 species
GAGUAUAAAGAAGAUAAGGGCUAAAGGAGGCUAUUAGUUUGUUUAUUUGUCUUACUCCAGAGAGUAGGGAGCUUUGGAAGUCAAGAUUAGGUUUCUUUUAAUUGACAGCAUGUGAGGCGAGAAAGCAAAAGACAAUUAUAAUCUUGAAUUCCCUUAGCUUUCUCCAUUUCGACUAAGCAAUACGAAAAUACACCCUUUUGCUGAGAGUAUGAAAGAGUAACCUCUUCAUAUCUGAAAGAAUUAAACUUGAGUCUUUGGUACCAGUGUAAACUUAUCCUAUUUUUUUGGAUUCUUCUUCCUAUCUUCCUUUUUUAAGUUCUUAUAAAAACUUUCAUGUUUCAUUUGCCUUUCCUUUAGAAUUAACUUUACACGAUCUUGGCAUGGGACUGUUCCUUACAAAUUCACAUUUUGAUCUGAUAUGCUACCAUUGUACGAGGACUGCACAAUCCACUAACAUGAAACAGUCCUGUCCAGGAAGGCAGCAGGAAUUGAUGAAGAAGCU